rnacentral:rRNA from 1 species
AGAGUUUGAUCCUGGCUCAGGACGAACGCUGGCGGCGUGCCUAAUACAUGCAAGUAGAACGCUGAAGAGAGGAGCUUGCUCUUCUUGGAUGAGUUGCGAACGGGUGAGUAACGCGUAGGUAACCUGCCUUGUAGCGGGGGAUAACUAUUGGAAACGAUAGCUAAUACCGCAUAACAAUGGAUGACCCAUGUCAUUUAUUUGAAAGGGGCAAAUGCUCCACUACAAGAUGGACCUGCGUUGUAUUAGCUAGUAGGUGAGGUAACGGCUCACCUAGGCGACGAUACAUAGCCGACCUGAGAGGGUGAUCGGCCACACUGGGACUGAGACACGGCCCAGACUCCUACGGGAGGCAGCAGUAGGGAAUCUUCGGCAAUGGGGGCAACCCUGACCGAGCAACGCCGCGUGAGUGAAGAAGGUUUUCGGAUCGUAAAGCUCUGUUGUAAGUCAAGAACGAGUGUGAGAGUGGGAAGUUCACACUGUGACGGUAGCUUACCAGAAAGGGACGGCUAACUACGUGCCAGCAGCCGCGGUAAUACGUAGGUCCCGAGCGUUGUCCGGAUUUAUUGGGCGUAAAGCGAGCGCAGGCGGUUUGAUAAGUCUGAAGUUAAAGGCUGUGGCUCAACCAUAGUUCGCUUUGGAAACUGUCAAACUUGAGUGCAGAAGGGGAGAGUGGAAUUCCAUGUGUAGCGGUGAAAUGCGUAGAUAUAUGGAGGAACACCGGUGGCGAAAGCGGCUCUCUGGUCUGUAACUGACGCUGAGGCUCGAAAGCGUGGGGAGCGAACAGGAUUAGAUACCCUGGUAGUCCACGCCGUAAACGAUGAGUGCUAGGUGUUGGAUCCUUUCCGGGAUUCAGUGCCGCAGCUAACGCAUUAAGCACUCCGCCUGGGGAGUACGACCGCAAGGUUGAAACUCAAAGGAAUUGACGGGGGCCCGCACAAGCGGUGGAGCAUGUGGUUUAAUUCGAAGCAACGCGAAGAACCUUACCAGGUCUUGACAUCCCGAUGCUAUUUCUAGAGAUAGAAAGUUACUUCGGUACAUCGGUGACAGGUGGUGCAUGGUUGUCGUCAGCUCGUGUCGUGAGAUGUUGGGUUAAGUCCCGCAACGAGCGCAACCCCUAUUGUUAGUUGCCAUCAUUCAGUUGGGCACUCUAGCGAGACUGCCGGUAAUAAACCGGAGGAAGGUGGGGAUGACGUCAAAUCAUCAUGCCCCUUAUGACCUGGGCUACACACGUGCUACAAUGGUUGGUACAACGAGUUGCGAGUCGGUGACGGCAAGCUAAUCUCUUAAAGCCAAUCUCAGUUCGGAUUGUAGGCUGCAACUCGCCUACAUGAAGUCGGAAUCGCUAGUAAUCGCGGAUCAGCACGCCGCGGUGAAUACGUUCCCGGGCCUUGUACACACCGCCCGUCACACCACGAGAGUUUGUAACACCCGAAGUCGGUGAGGUAACCUUUUGGAGCCAGCCGCCUAAGGUGGGAUAGAUGAUUGGGGUGAAGUCGUAACAAGGUA